AUGGAGGUGAUGACUAUUUCCCCAGAUGAUCGACGCUGAUUAAACUGUGCGCAACUUUUUUCUCUUUUGAGAAAUCCAAGCCAGAUGUCUGAUCCAU
rnacentral:snoRNA from 1 species